rnacentral:rRNA from 1 species
GACGUAGGAGGCGAGCGUUGUCCGGAUUCAUUGGGCGUAAAGGGCGCGUAGGCUGCGGGGCAAGUCGGGUGUGAAAUCUCAGAGCUCAACUCUGAAACUGCACUCGAUACUGCUUUGCUUGAGGACUGGAGAGGAGAUUGGAAUUUACGGUGUAGCGGUGAAAUGCGUAGAUAUCGUAAGGAAGACCAGUGGCGAAGGCGGGUCUCUGGACAGUUCCUGACGCUGAGGCACGAAGGCCAGGGGAGCAAACGGG